UACGAAGGGGGCUAGCGUUGCUCGGAAUCACUGGGCGUAAAGGGCGCGUAGGCGGCCAUUCAAGUCAGGGGUGAAAGCCCAAGGCUCAACCUUGGAAUUGCCUUUGAUACUGUUUGGCUUGAGACCGGAAGAGGUCGGCGGAACUGCGAGUGUAGAGGUGAAAUUCGUAGAUAUUCGCAAGAACACCAGUGGCGAAGGCGGCUCACUGGCCCGGUACUGACGCUGAGGUGCGAAAGCGUGGGGAGCAAACAGG
rnacentral:rRNA from 1 species